rnacentral:tRNA from 1 species
UGGCUGAGUGGUUAAAGCAUUUGGCUGCUUACCAAAAGGCUGGUGGUUCAAAUCCACC